rnacentral:lncRNA from 1 species
CCACAGAGCAGGAGCCCUUCCUGCACCAGAUCAGGGCUUUAUAAACCAGCUGCCCUCCCUCCCUGAUGGUUGUAUGGGAGGCUGUGUUGGGACUGUCCUAGAUGGCAGAAACAGGCAGGUACUCAUGGGAAAUGACACAGUGUGCAUGAUGGGAAUCGUGGAUCGCAGCCGAGGACCAGGAGAGGACGACGUCGCUCCUCGCCGCGUGCGCCCUGCUUGCACCACACCUGCACUUCCCCUCUGUGUGAUAGCGCUGUCCCCCAAAAGCGGCUGCAAAGCUUCCUUGGGCGGCCUGUUCCAGCACGUCACCGCUCUUUUGGAGAAGAAAUGUUUCCUAAUAUCCAUCCUGAACAUCCCCUGGCAUGGCUUGAGGCCGUUCCCUCUCAUCUUCUCGCAGCUGCCCAGGAGAAGAGGCCGACCCCCACCUCGCUACAACCUCCCAGCUGUUGUGUCCACAGUGAGUCCACGGCAGCAGCUCGGGGUGGUGGAAGGCGGCUAUUUGUUUUGGAAGACACACAGUGGUACACAUAUAAAUGCAGGAAAAAGAAGAAUUUAUACAGAGUGGUACCACCAGGUCAAACUCAGAUGCACUGGUAGCUCCCUUAAUCCAAGGUAGGACAUGGACAGCAUGAAUGAAGAGAGGAGGAGGCUGACAGCAAGAGAUUUGCCACCUCAGGCAGGUGAUGUUUCCCACUGAGACCUCCAGUGCUUCCUGGGAGAAAAGUGGCACAGACCUGUUCAAGGAGAUCUCUAACGGGAGGAAUUCUGCAGCUUCCUCACAAUCUGCAGCCUUAUUGUUGGCAAGGAUCUAGAGGCAGGCCAUGGAUGGAUGUGAGCCAGGGUGAAGCAGAGCUCCAAAGGAGUGUGAUACAGAGAUGGAUUACGCAGUCUCAAGCAGGCUCUGCUCUUCUCAUUAGAUGGCUGUGAAGCCCAUGCUCUUAAACCACCAGGGAGCAGGAG